AGUGAACGCUGGCGGUAGGCCUAACGCAUGCAAGUCGAACGGCAGCACAGUAAGAGCUUGCUCUUACGGGUGGCGAGUGGCGGACGGGUGAGGAAUACAUCGGAAUCUACUUUUUCGUGGGGGAUAACGUAGGGAAACUUACGCUAAUACCGCAUACGACCUACGGGUGAAAGCAGGGGAUCUUCGGACCUUGCGCGAUUGAAUGAGCCGAUGUCGGAUUAGCUAGUUGGCGGGGUAAAGGCCCACCAAGGCAACGAUCCGUAGCUGGUCUGAGAGGAUGAUCAGCCACACUGGAACUGAGACACGGUCCAGACUCCUACGGGAGGCAGCAGUGGGGAAUAUUGGACAAUGGGCGCAAGCCUGAUCCAGCCAUACCGCGUGGGUGAAGAAGGCCUUCGGGUUGUAAAGCCCUUUUGUUGGGAAAGAAAAGCAGCAGGUUAAUACCCCGCUGUUCUGACGGUACCCAAAGAAUAAGCACCGGCUAACUUCGUG
rnacentral:rRNA from 1 species